rnacentral:rRNA from 1 species
GAUGAACGCUGGCGGUAUGCUUAACACAUGCAAGUCGAACGGACUCUUCGGAGUUAGUGGCGGACGGGUGAGUAACGCGUGAGAAUCUGGCUUUGGGUUCGGGACAACCACUGGAAACGGUGGCUAAUACCGGAUGUGCCGAGAGGUAAAAGAGAAAUUGCCUGAAGAUGAGCUCGCGUCUGAUUAGCUAGUUGGUGAGGUAAAGGCUCACCAAGGCAGCGAUCAGUAGCUGGUCUGAGAGGAUGACCAGCCACACUGGGACUGAGACACGGCCCAGACUACUACGGGAGGCAGCAGUGGGGAAUUUUCCGCAAUGGGCGAAAGCCUGACGGAGCAAUACCGCGUGAGGGAAGAAGGCUCUUGGGUUGUAAACCUCUUUGCUUAGGGAAGAACAAAAUGACGGUACCUAAGGAAUCAGCAUCGGCUAACUCCGUG